rnacentral:rRNA from 1 species
GAACCUUUACCAGGGUCUUGACAUCUCUGACGCAUAUGAAGUAUGUUUUUCUGGCUUCGGUCAGACAGAGAGACAGGUGGUGCAUGGUUGUCGUCAGCUCGUGUCGUGAGAUGUUGGGUUAAGUCCCGCAACGAGCGCAACCCCUACGUUUAGUUGCUAACGUGUAACGAUGAGCACUCUAGGCGGACUGCCGUUGACAAAACGGAGGAAGGUGGGAUGACGUCAAAUCAUCAUGCCCCUUAUGUUCUGGGCUACACACGUGCUACAAUGGCCGGUACAAAGGGACGCAAAGCCGCGAGGUGGAGCAAAUCCGAUAAAAGCCGGUCUCAGUUCGGAUUGCAGGCUGCAAUUCGCCUGCAUGAAGUCGGAAUCGCUAGUAAUCGCAGGUCAGCAUACUGCGGUGAAUACGUUCCCGGGCCUU